UACAGAGGUCUCAAGCGUUGUUCGGAUUCAUUGGGCGUAAAGGGUGCGUAGGUGGCGCCGUAAGUCAGGUGUGAAAUUUCGGAGCUUAACUCCGAAACUGCAUUUGAUACUGCGGUGCUUGAGGACUGGAGAGGAGACUGGAAUUCAUGGUGUAGCAGUGAAAAUGCGUAGAGAUCAUGAGGAAGACCAGUGGCGAAGGCGGGUCUCUGGACAGUUCCUGACACUGAGGCACGAAGGCCAGGGGGAGCAAAACGGGG
rnacentral:rRNA from 1 species